CCUACGGGAGGCAGCAGUCGAGAAUCAUUCACAAUGGGGGAAACCCUGAUGGUGCGACGCCGCGUGGGGGAAUGAAGGUCUUCGGAUUGUAAACCCCUGUCAUGUGGGAGCAAAUUGAAAAGAGAGUACCACAAGAGGAAGAGACGGCUAACUCUGUCCCAGCAGCCGCGGUACUACAGAGGUCUCAAGCGUUGUUCGGAAUCACUGGGCUUAAAGGGUGCGUAGGCUGUUUCGUAAGUCGGGUGUGAAAGGCGCGGGCUCAACCCGCGGAGGGCAAAUGAUACUGGGAGACUAGAGUAAAGGAGGGGGAGGCGGAAUUCGUGGUGUAGCAGUGAAAUGCGUAGAUAUCGAGAGGAACACUCGUGGCGAAGGCGGGUUCCUGGACAGUAACUGACGCUGAGGCACGAAGGCCAGGGUAGCGAAAGGGAUUAGAUACCCCAGUAGUC
rnacentral:rRNA from 1 species